AAAAAAACGAAAUUCCAAAAAAAUAAAUAAAUAAAUAAAUUUCGCAUCCCUUUCUUGCCAUCUCCUUCUUUCCUCUUCAAUCUCAGGAGUCUUGUCUUUUCGAUCCUCUUCAAUUUGCUCCGCGACUGAAGCUGAAGAAACGAUGACGACAGGGCGUAUCCAAUUUCCUCCUUUAAUUCAGUGCCAUUCCCAUUCUUCAUUUUGAAUGUCCUGGCUGAUUUUUUUUUUUUUAAUUUUUUACAAACCCAUGGCUUCUCGGUUGUGAGCGACAGCCGCAAAGAAAAUCGAACUGGAGGCUGUGAGGUGGCAAACCCUGUCGUUGACCGACGCAGCCGCCUCCAGAAUUCGUCACCUUCUUCAACAGCGCCAAAGACCUUUCCUUCGAUUGGGUGUCAAGGCUCGCUGAUGCAACGGCUUAUCCUAUACCCUCAAUAACGCCGAUAGAUGAGAAAGGAAAUUUUGAUGAAUUGGUUGAGGACAAGGGCGUGAAAAUACUAAUUGAUCCAAAAGGUUUGAUGCAUGUAAUUGGGAGCAAGAUGGAUUUUAUAGAUGAUAAACUCAUGUCUUGAGUUCGUUUUUAUCAAUCCACACUCUAAAAGGCAGUGUGGAUGUGGCGAGUCUUUCAUGACAACAUCUUGUAGUAGUGGUGGAGCUGCUAAACAAGGUGUUACAUGGGAUUUCAAAGACCUUGUAAUAAGAUAGGUAUUGAACUAACCUACUUGAUUCGAGGGAGCUCCUUAAUUCACCACUCAAAUAAACUAAGAGGAAACAUUUAUCCGCAAACCAGGUGAACUUUUAUAGCAAUUUUUGCCAGCUGAUUUUAUGAGUAGAAGUGGAGUACGGUAUACUCCACAUAUUGCUGUAUCGCUGAUGCGAGUUUGGCGUCUGAAAAUCAUUUCUAUACUACAUUUUACAUAAGUUCUUUUGAAAUAAUAAAUGUUGCUGCACCCUUCAUAUUACAGCUAACUCGUGCUUUUUGUUCAUUGACCCUUUGGAAAUGAUGGCACUUAACAUCAUUUCAUGAAUGCUUUAUAGUUACAACAUUAUAUAUAUUUGGAUCAAUCAAUGAAAUGUUUGUCUACAUUUGCAAUUUGCGGAGUAAUAGCACAUAGAAGUCGGGAAUACCUCCAAUUAAGGUGUUUUCAAGGCUGUUUGAGUGAAUAGACUGUUGUUUGACCUUUUUACCUCAAGGUCCUUUCUUUUUUAUGCCAAGUGCGAAUGCUUUUUUUCUGAUCUCAAGGCUGUUCAAUUAUGAAAUCUCCGUAUGGUUUCAUUGUCAAAACCUGAAUAUGGAGAUCAACAUUGUUGAUGAAACAAUUUUUCACCCUUAGAAUACAUUGAGCGAAAUUUAAGACAGAUAAUACAGAAACAAUGACAUACCUAUGUCUGAGAAGCAGACCUGUAUAAAAAGUACAGCAUAAUUAUUUCAGACUUCAGAAUUUGAUUAUUUAUAAAA